GCUAAGGUGUUGCUAUGGUAUCUGGGGUGGUUGCUAAGGUGUUUCUAAGUGGUUGCUAGGUGGUUGCUAAGGUGUUGCUAUGGUAUCUGGGGUGGUUGCUAAGGUGUUUCUAGGUGGUUGCUAGGUGGUUGCUAAGGUGUUGCUAUGGUAUCCGGGGUGGUUGCUAAGAUGUUGCUAGGUGGUUGCUAAGGUGUUGCUAUGGUAUCUGGGGUGGUUGCUAAGGUGUUUCUAGGUGGUUGCUAGGUGGUUGCUAAGGUGUUGCUAUGGUAUCUGGGGUGGUUGCUAAGGUGUUGCUA